rnacentral:lncRNA from 1 species
GCGGAAGGAUGAAGUUUUCCUUUCGUUACAACCUUUAUUUUCACAGUGAAGCAGUCAGGUACAGGGCGUCUGGCUCUACUGUAGUCCAGUGGUUCUACAGUCAUGCAGGAGAGGCCUGCAGCUUCAGGCAGAACAAAGCCUAACUGAGCUUCUUCCACUGGUUGGCUGACUGUGACCACUCAGGGUCAGCCAGGAUUGCUGAGAGGUGCACAAGAGGUGCACCUAGGUCUACAUCCUUCUAGAAUGGCUAUCCCAGUCCUGUCAUCUUCUGUUUCAAUGUCCCCAGGCUAUCCUGACAUUCUUUCUCCCCUCUGCCAGUCUCAGUUAAAUGGCGGGGGACCUUCUGUGUGUCUAGGAAGAGAAU